ensembl:lncRNA
UGGGGACUGGGCCUGUAUCCUCAAAGCUUCUCAGAGCAGCAGUGCUGAUCUAGGAUCAGUUUAGCCACCAGGACUGGGGGACUGGGCCUGUAUCCUCAAAGCUUCUCAGAGCAGCAGUGCUGAUCUAGGAUCAGUUUAGCCACCAGGACUGGGGGACUGGGCCUGUAUCCUCAAAGCUUUCAGAGCAGCAGUGCUGAUCUAGGAUCAGUUUAGCCACCAGGACUGGGGGACUGGGCCUGUAUCCUCAAAGCUUCUCAGAGCAGCAGUGCUGAUCUAGGAUCAGUUUAGCCACCAGGACUGGGGGACUGGGCCUGUAUCCUCAAAGCUUCUCAGAGCAGCAGUGCUGAUCUGGGAUCAGUUUAGCCACCAGGACUGGGGGACUGGGCCUGUAUCCACAAAGCUUCUCAGAGCAGCAGUGCUGAUCCAGGAUCAGUUUAGCCACUAGGACUGGGGGACUGGGCCUGUUUCCACAAAGCUUCUCAGAGCAGCAGUACUGAUCUGGGAUCAGUUUAGCCACCAGGACUGGGGGACUCGGCCUGUAUCCUCAAAGCUUCUCAGAGUAGAUCUAGUAUGGAGUGAUUCAUAAUGUAGGAUCAGUUUUGCCUUUUAGCUCAUAAUGAAUCAAAUUAUAUGGACAGGUUGGAACCUAAUCCUGGAUCAGCACUCCAACUCAGAUGCUGUGGAUACAGAGACAGAUCCCACUACAGUAGGCUACUAAAUUACUGUUGUAGUGUAGAGAGAGAGAGAGAGGAGAGAGACCUCAGGGUGUCUGGGUCUAUAGAGGGGUAGAGGAGGAGACCUCAGGGUGUCUGGGUCUAUAGAGGGGUACAGGAGGAGACCUCAGGGUGUCUGGGUCUAUAGAGGGGUACAGGAGGAGACCUCAGGGUGUCUGGGUCUAUAGAGGGGGGGAGGAGGAGACCUCAGGGUGUCUGGGUCUAUAGAGGGGUAGAGGAGGAGACCUCAGGGUGUCUGGGUCUAUAGAGGGGUACAGGAGGAGACCUCAGGGUGUCUGGGUCUAUAGAGGGGUACAGGAGGAGACCUCAGGGUGUCUGGGUCUAUAGAGGGGUACAGGAGGAGACCUCAGGGUGUCUGGGUCUAUAGAGGGGUAGAGGAGGAGACCUCAGGGUGUCUGGGUCUAUAGAGGGGUAGAGGAGGAGACCUCAGGGUGUCUGGGUCUAUAGAGGGGUACAGGAGGAGACCUCAGGGUGUCUGGGUCUAUAGAGGGGUACAGGAGGAGACCUCCUUUCUCUACCCAAAAUCUGAGAAAAGGGGCUGACCUCAACACUAUAGGCAGCUGUGGUCGCCGGCCCACCACGACCAAACCACACUGACUAAACAGUGUCCCCUCUGACAAGCUCUGCCCCUCUCUCUGCCAGUCUGUCACUCUCUCUGCUUGUCUGUCUGCCCUUCUCUCUGCCCAUCUGUCCCUCUCUCUGCCUGUCUGGAAGCCAGUAAGUAAAGCGCACAUUUCCUGCCCAUGACAUUCGGAACGAGGAACAGGAAGUGCACUGAAGCCUCUUCUUCUCAUUCUUAGAGGAUCCCUGUAGGAUUUGGGGCCGACAUCAGGCCAGCUUGGACACGGGUUAAGUCACAUACUGUAUCUGCUUCAGGUUCUGAUUCAGGGUAUAGUGACAGUUUACUCAUUGUGCUUUAUUCUGGGAUUCUGACAUCAUAAUUGGAUGUAGCCCUUUGUAGAACAUUCCAACUGAUGACAUCACAACCAGAUGAAGUGAUCCUUUGUUAAAACAUUCUGGUUGCGUCUCUCUGCUCAGAUGUCACAUGCAUCAACCACUGGUUGCACCAGAUUGCUUUAGCAUGUGAUGUGUUUAGCUGAUCUGUAAAAUACCUAUCCAGGCGAUGUAAGAUCUGGCGUCAGCAACGUCUGAACAGAGGAACACACCCUCUAACUGAUGACAUCACAAUGUGGUGAUGACGCAGUCCUUUGAACAUUCUAACUGAUGACGUCAUAGUGACAUGACGCAAGCCUAAUUGAUGACAUCACAAUAGGCUAAAUAUGGUCCUAUAAGAGGGGUCCUUUUAAACGGGCUCCCAGACUCCGUACCAUAGCAUUACAAUGAAUAGAGAACCUCUAUCCCAAUUCAAAGAUAAUCCUGUGGGUUUUACAGCUACUGGUCUGUUCUACACGAAUUCUAAUCCUGUCCUCUUCAAUUUAACCCCUGGGGUACCUCCUCUCCUCACUUCCCUGAAUGAGACAUCUCCAUGGCGACACCAGUGUUAGCUAACCCUCAUUAUGGGAUAUAGUGUAGUUCCCAUAUCACACGGCACCAAACGGGUCAUAUUACAGUAAUCUGGGAAUAGUGGAGCAGACAGAUUAGAUUAAGCUCAUUAACAUCGCACGCACACACACACAAUGUGGAGACCAGGAGUUACACACACCACUCUCUGAACAGAGAGAAAGAGAGAGAGCCAUUGAAGGACUUUAAAGACUACAGUGAAGGCGGCAGGGUUUUGGUAAUAAUCUGUAGUGUUUUUGUUUUCAAGUGCAAAUAAGCCUUUCUCUGUCCUGCCCUGCAUUCUGUCUUCAUGUCACUAUCAAUCUCACAGGAUCCCAUUCUGCCAUGUAUCUCAAUGGUGCCCUAUUCCCUAUAUUAGUCCCUACGGGCCCUGGUCUAAAGUAGUGCACUAUAUAGGGAAUAGGGUGCCAUUUGGGAGGCAGGCCUGUUGUAUUCAAACGGGUUCUUCUUCCUGACUGAUGGAAUGAAUGACAAUACAGAGUAAAAGAAGAGCAUUAGUGGAGGAGGCAGAGAGAGAGAGAGAGAGGGGGAGGAGGAGAGAGAGAGAGAGAGAGAGGGAGAGAG